rnacentral:lncRNA from 1 species
UCAUUUGUAUCACUGUGUUAUAUGAUUCCUCUUAUACAGCAUUAUGUGUGCAUGCAUGUGUUUUUUGUGUGUGUGUGUAUGAAAUGGGUUUAAUGUAAACUAUAAACAUUGCAAUUUUUUUCACCAGCAAUAGGCCCAAGCCAAGAAGAAAUUUCUGAUUUACACGAAAAAGAAUGCAAGAGUAUAAUUAUUAAGCUAAUCAGGGAGGCACCAGAGAAAGGCAAAGCCCAAUGUAUGGAAAUCCAAAAAUGAUAUAAGAAGUGAAAGGAGAAAUAUUCAAGGAAAUUGAUAGCACAAAUAAAAAAACAAUAAAAACUUCAGGAAACAUUUGACAAACUUAUAGAAAUG